GGUAGACGAUGGCAAAUUGGUUAAUAUUCCAAUACCAACAUUAGUGUGCGAUGGAAGGACGCUUAGGGCUAAGGGGGCUAGCGGAUGGAAGUGCUAGUCUAAGGUUGUAGGAGGUUAUACAGGCAAAUCCGUAUAACAAUACUCCGAGAACUGAAAGGCUUUUUGAAGUCUUCGGAUGGAUAGAAGAACCCCUGAUGCCGUCGAGCCAAGAAAAGUUUCUAAGUUUAGCUAAUGUUGCCCGUACCGUAAACCGACACAGGUGGGUGGGAUGAGUAUUCUAAGGCGCGUGGAAGAACUCUCUUUAAGGAACUCUGCAAAAUAGCACCGUAUCUUCGGUAUAAGGUGUGGUUAGCUUCGUACUAGGAUUUACUCCGAAAGCGAAGAAACUUACAACAAAGAGUCCCUCCCGACUGUUUACCAAAAACACAGCACUCUGCUAACUCGUAAGAGGAUGUAUAGGGUGUGACGCCUGCCCGGUGCUCGAAGGUUAAUUGAUGGGGUUAGCAUUAGCGAAGCUCUUGAUCGAAGCCCGAGUAAACGGCGGCCGUAACUAUAACGGUCCUAAGGUAGCGAAAUUCCUUGUCGGUUAAAUACCGACCUGCAUGAAUGGCGUAACGAGAUGGGAGCUGUCUCAAAGAGGGAUCCAGUGAAAUUGUAGUGGAGGUGAAAAUUCCUCCUACCCGCGGCAAGACGGAAAGACCCCGUGGACCUUUACUACAGCUUGACACUGCUACUUGGAUAAGAAUGUGCAGGAUAGGUGGGAGGCUUUGAGUAUAUGACGCCAGUUGUAUAUGAGCCAUUGUUGAGAUACCACUCUUUCUUAUUUGGGUAGCUAACCAGCUUGAGUUAUCCUCAAGUGGGACAAUGUCUGGUGGGUAGUUUGACUGGGGCGGUCGCCUCCCAAAUAAUAACGGAGGCUUACAAAGGUUGGCUCAGAACGGUUGGAAAUCGUUCGUAGAGUAUAAAGGUAUAAGCCAGCUUAACUGCAAGACAUACAAGUCAAGCAGAGACGAAAGUCGGUCUUAGUGAUCCGGUGGUUCUGUGUGGAAGGGCCAUCGCUCAAAGGAUAAAAGGUACCCCGGGGAUAACAGGCUGAUCUCCCCCAAGAGCUCACAUCGACGGGGAGGUUUGGCACCUCGAUGUCGGCUCAUCGCAUCCUGGGGCUGGAGCAGGUCCCAAGGGUAUGGCUGUUCGCCAUUUAAAGCGGUACGCGAGCUGGGUUCAGAACGUCGUGAGACAGUUCGGUCCCUAUCUGCCGUGGGCGUAAGAAGAUUGAAGAGAUUUGACCCUAGUACGAGAGGACCGGGUUGAACAAACCACUGGUGUAGCUGUUGUUCUGCCAAGAGCAUCGCAGCGUAGCUAAGUUUGGAAAGGAUAAACGCUGAAAGCAUCUAAGCGUGAAGCCAACUCUAAGAUGAAUCUUCUCUAAGCUCUCUAGAAGACUACUAGUUUGAUAGGCUGGGUGUGUAAUGGAUGAAAGUCCUUUAGCUGACCAGUACUAAUAGAGCAUUUGGCUUAUCUUUAAUAAAGCAU
rnacentral:rRNA from 1 species